rnacentral:rRNA from 1 species
ACCGGCGCACGGGUGAGUAACGCGUAUGCAACCCACCUUAUACAGGAGUAUAGCCCGAAGAAAUUCGGAUUAAUCCUCCAUAGUAUUCUUUAAUGGCAUCAUUUGAAGAAUUAAAGCUUCGGCGGUAUAAGAUGGGCAUGCGUCCUAUUAGCUAGAUGGUAAGGUAACGGCUUACCAUGGCUACGAUAGGUAGGGGGCCUGAGAGGGUGAUCCCCCACACUGGUACUGAGACACGGACCAGACUCCUACGGGAGGCAGCAGUGAGGAAUAUUGGGCAAUGGGCGCAAGCCUGACCCAGCCAUGCCGCGUGCAGGAAGAAUGCCCUAUGGGUUGUAAACUGCUUUUAUUUAGGAAUAAACCCCUUUACGUGUAGAGGGCUGAAUGUACUAAACGAAUAAGCACCGGCUAACUCCGUGCCAGCAGCCGCGGUAAUACGGAGGGUGCAAGCGUUAUCCGGAAUCAUUGGGUUUAAAGGGUCCGCAGGCGGAUGUAUAAGUCAGUGGUGAAAUCCUGCAGCUUAACUGCAGAACUGCCAUUGAUACUGUACAUCUUGAAUUCGGUCGAAGUGGGCGGAAUGUGUAGUGUAGCGGUGAAAUGCAUAGAUAUUACACAGAACACCGAUAGCGAAGGCAGCUCACUAGGCCUGGAUUGACGCUCAGGGACGAAAGCGUGGGGAUCAAACAGGAUUAGAUACCCUGGU